rnacentral:ncRNA from 2 species
UUCGUCUCACGUAACUGGCGAAAAAGCAGGGGCUUGCAGCUCCGGCGACAAGGUGGAGAUCCACCGGGGAACGUGAGAUGUCUUUCGCCGUUCGCCUGGGCAGCCCAA